GUCUGUGGACAUACCACCCUUCACAUUCCCGAUCUUGUCUGAUGUCCUAAACUACGCAGGGGCAGCUCUGGUUAGUACGUUGAUGAGAAAACAAGUGAAGAAAAGGCAGAGAUU
ensembl:rRNA 5S_rRNA 5S ribosomal RNA